CUCUCUCUCUCACUGUCCAAAACACUUAGCCUAUGCCUCUUUGUCUGACCAAUGUAGUAUUGUUGAAAUGGCUGCUGAGCAAGACAGAGGGAGAGCAGAGGGUGUUAUUUUCAUAGCAGACAUGCGUCUUGCUCAAAUCAAGGCAGAGAAACCCAAGGGCAAAGCAACAGCCAUUAAAGGGAGUACAUUUAAUGUCAGAUAGGUGGAGAAAAUGCUGAAGGACGUCCACUACUAAAAAGCAGCAGAAGUGAAGAGAUACAAAGCUUCAGCUACAGAAGGAGCUUCAAGCAGCCACAAACGGAGAGUUCUUUUGAACAGAUAUUGCUUGCAAGUAUUGGCCAUACCUUGAGAAGGCGUCAGUCUCCAUGUUGGAACUCAGACCUUUACUGCAGAUGAGACCUUUCCUUUCUGUCAUGCAUGCCAAGGCUCAUUCAACCAAGUGUCAGGUGUCACACAUUUGUUAGAUAAUCUGGCAAAAAUCAGGAAGGUGCUGGUACAACUGCAGUUGAGGGGGUCAAAAUGGUCAACAGCUAUCUGUCUCGUUGUGGCCUCACAACCAAUACUUUGAGAUUGCAUAAGAGUAAGCUGUAACUGUUCAAAGUACAUAAAAAAUUGGCAUGUAGUUCUCUCUUAAAUUUUAAACUCAAUUGUCAGUUUCUGGAUUAAUUGAAAUACCACAAGCAUUAAUGGGACCUUUCUUCCUUCAUCACAUACAUGUCUUGUUAAUAGCCAGGAAUGACAUGCUAACUGUCCAUGCUAUUGGGUGGAACCAACGGAAGCAAGAAGGCCUUCAGCAUUAUCCAGCAGAUACAUCAAGAAAGGCUGAGUCUCAGAGACGGGAAGAUUUGAGCAGUGAACUGGGGUGUCCUGAGAACAUUGUGAAUCAGUGGGUACAAGAUGUCAGACAAAAGGCUACUGAUGGAUUUGGUAGGUACCAGAUGUGAUGACCUACAUAACCUUCAGAAAUUAAUUGAACAAAUGUUUCUUAGUCUUCAUCGAAAAGCCAGCCUUUAUAAUCACACUGAAUCCAGCAACACCCUCACCAAGAAGAUUUUUUUGAUGUAUACAUGUCAAAAGUGAGCCUUCAAGAAGCAAAGAUCAUUGUGAUGAGGGAGAUGAGACACCACUGCACUGCACCUAUCUCAGAAGCCUGGCUAGGAACAUCAGGAAAAUGAUUUCA